rnacentral:rRNA from 1 species
CCUGGCUCAGGAUAAACGCUGGCGGCGCACAUAAGACAUGCAAGUCGAACGAACUUAACCUUAAUGUUUACAUUUUAGGAGCGGUUAGUGGCGGACUGGUGAGUAACACGUAAGUAAUCUGCCUAUCAGAGGGGAAUAACAAUGAGAAAUCAUUGCUAAUACCGCAUAUGCUGUAAGGUUCGCAUGAACCAAGCAGGAAAGGAGCAAUCCGCUGAUAGAUGAGCUUGCGUCUGAUUAGCUAGUUGGUGUGGUAACGGCAUACCAAGGCAACGAUCAGUAGCCGAGCUGAGAGGCUCAACGGCCACAUUGGGACUGAGAUACGGCCCAAACUCCUACGGGAGGCAGCAGUGGGGAAUAUUGCACAAUGGGGGAAACCCUGAUGCAGCGAUGCCGCGUGCAGGAAGAAGGUUUUCGGAUUGUAAACUGCUUUAGACAGGGAAGAAGAAGUGACAGUACCUGUAGAAUAAGCUCCGGCUAACUACGUGCC